rnacentral:rRNA from 1 species
CAGUAGCCACGGUAAUACAGAGGGUGCGAGCGUUAAUCGGAUUUACUGGGCGUAAAGCGUGCGUAGGCGGCUUCUUAAGUCGGAUGUGAAAUCCCUGAGCUUAACUUAGGAAUUGCAUUCGAUACUGGGAAGCUAGAGUAUGGGAGAGGAUGGUAGAAUUCCAGGUGUAGCGGUGAAAUGCGUAGAGAUCUGGAGGAAUACCGGUGGCGAAGGCGGCCCCCUGGACAAAGACUGACGCUCAGGUGCGAAAGCGUGGGGAGCAAACAGGAUUAGAUACCCGCGUAGUCCCUGUCUCUUAUAC